CCGACGGUGAGGGGUGAAAGCUGGGGGAGCAAACCGGAUUAGAUACCCGGGUAGUCCCAGCUGUAAACGAUGCAAACUCGAUGAUGCGUUGGCUUAUUGCUAGCGCAGUGUCGCAGGGAAGCCGUUAAGUUUGCCGCCUGGGAAGUACGUACGCAAGUAUGAAACUUAAAGGAAUUGGCGGGGGAGCACCACAAGGGGUGAAGCCUGCGGUUCAAUUGGAGUCAACGCCUGAAACCUUACCCGGAGAGACAGCAGAAUGAAGGUCAAGCUGAAGACUUUACCAGACAAGCUGAGAGGUGGUGCAUGGCCGUCGCCAGCUCGUGCCGUGAGAUGUCCUGUUAAGUCAGGUAACGAGCGAGAUCCCUGCCUCUAGUUGCCACCAUUACUCUCAGGAGUAGUGGGGCGAAUUAGCGGGACCGCCGCAGUUAAUGCGGAGGAAGGAAGGGGCCACGGCAGGUCAGUAUGCCCCGAAACUCUGGGGCCACACGCGGGCUGCAAUGGUAACGACAAUUGGUUUCGAAUCCGAAAGGAUGAGGUAAUCUCUAAACGCUACCACAGUUGUGAUUGAGGGCUGCAACUCGCCCUCAUGAACAUGGAAUCCCUAGUAACCGCGUGUCAUUAUCGCGCAGUGAAUACGUCCCUGCUCCUUGCACACACCGCCCGU
rnacentral:rRNA from 1 species